GAUAAACGCUGGCGGCGUGCAUGAGACAUGCAAGUCGAACGAAGGAUCGGGCUUGCUCGAUCCUUAGUGGCGGACGGCUGAGUAACGCGUAGGUGACCUACCCCGAAGUGGGGAAUAACUGCCCGAAAGGGUGGCUAAUACCGCAUGUGGUCGCACGUUCAUUCGUGCGAGUAAAGCCGCAAGGCGCUUCGGGAGGGGCCUGCGUCCGAUUAGCUCGUUGGUGGGGUAAUGGCUUACCAAGGCGACGAUCGGUAGGUGGUCUGAGAGGACGAUCACCCAGACUGGGACUGAGACACGGCCCAGACUCCUACGGGAGGCAGCAGUCGGGAAUUUUGCUCAAUGGGGGAAACACUGAAGCAGCAACGCCGCGUGAGGGAUGAAGGCCUUCGGGUUGUAAACCUCUUUUGUCAGGGACGAUGAUGACGGUACCUGGCGAAUAAGCCACGGCUAACUACGUG
rnacentral:rRNA from 1 species